rnacentral:rRNA from 1 species
AACGAACGCUGGCGGCAUGCCUAACACAUGCAAGUCGAACGAAGGCUUCGGCCUUAGUGGCGCACGGGUGCGUAACGCGUGGGAAUCUGCCCUUAGGUUCGGAAUAACAGCUGGAAACGGCUGCUAAUACCGGAUGAUAUCGCGAGAUCAAAGAUUUAUCGCCUGAGGAUGAGCCCGCGUUGGAUUAGGUAGUUGGUGGGGUAAAGGCCUACCAAGCCGACGAUCCAUAGCUGGUCUGAGAGGAUGAUCAGCCACACUGGGACUGAGACACGGCCCAGACUCCUACGGGAGGCAGCAGUGGGGAAUAUUGGACAAUGGGCGAAAGCCUGAUCCAGCAAUGCCGCGUGAGUGAUGAAGGCCCUAGGGUUGUAAAGCUCUUUUACCCGGGAAGAUAAUGACUGUACCGGGAGAAUAAGCCCCGGCUAACUCCGUGCCAGCCGCCGCCGUAA